GGGGGUAUGGCGGAAUUGGUAGACGCUGUGGACUU
rnacentral:tRNA from 8 species